AUUGAACGCUGGCGGCAGGCCUAACACAUGCAAGUCGGGCGGAUGAAGGGAGCUUGCUCCUGGAUUCAGCGGCGGACGGGUGAGUAAUGCCUAGGAAUCUGCCUGGUAGUGGGGGAUAACGUCCGGAAACGGGCGCUAAUACCGCAUACGUCCUGAGGGAGAAAGUGGGGGAUCUUCGGACCUCACGCUAUCAGAUGAGCCUAGGUCGGAUUAGCUAGUUGGUGGGGUAAAGGCCUACCAAGGCGACGAUCCGUAACUGGUCUGAGAGGAUGAUCAGUCACACUGGAACUGGGACACGGUCCAGACUCCUACGGGAGGCAGCAGUGGGGAAUAUUGGACAAUGGGCGAAAGCCUGAUCCAGCCAUGCCGCGUGUGUGAAGAAGGUCUUCGGAUUGUAAAGCACUUUAAGUUGGGAGGAAGGGCAGUAAGUUAAUACCUUGCUGUUUUGACGUUACCAACAGAAUAAGCACCGGCUAACUUCGUG
rnacentral:rRNA from 1 species